GUUGCUGGCUUGGAUUUUGAGCCGCGUAGUGGGAGCAUCUAUCAGAUUCCGGUUUGGCGGAUGGAAGUGUAUAAGGGAUCUCAUGGUGGAGUUCAAAAAGGGUGCUGUUGAAUCUGUUUCUGUUGGUGAAAUUAAACUCAGCUUACGUCAGUCCUUGGUCAAACUGUUUGGUUUUAUUUCUAAAGACCCGAAGCUGAAAGUGUUAAUAUGUGACUUAGAAGUUGUGAUGAGGCCUUCGAGUAGAAGUACGGCAAAGGCUAAACCAAAAUUUCUGCUAAGUGGCAUUUGUUUCCCAUGAUUGUAGCAAAGAAUAGAGACACAAGUGAUUCUGAGGAUGACGGGACUCGUCAUUUCAUGGUGAAUGUUAUUGAGCCCCAAUUUAAUCUUCACUCAGAAGAUGCAAAUGGAAGAUUUCUGCUUGCUGCUGUUAGUGGCCGGGUCUUGGCUAGGUCUUUUCAUUCAGUCCUUCAGGUUGACUCUGAGAUGCUCGAGCAAGCACUUGGUACUGGGAAUGUAAAUAUUCCAGAAUGUGAACCUGAAAUGACAUGGAAACGCAUGGAGUUUUCUGUUAUGUUGGAACAUGUUCAAGCUUAUGUUGCUCCAACAGAUGUUGAUCCAGGUGCUGGAUUGCAGUGGCUUCCAAAGAUUCGUAGAAGUUCUCCAAAAGUUAAACGUACUGGUGCAUUACUUGAGAGAGUUUUUAUGCCCUGCGAUAUGUACUUCUGGUACACAAGGCACAAAGG